UUUAUGUCACAGACUUUCAUCCCCGCCGCCGCACACCCAGAUCGCACAGUUCUGUUCCAUCUCCGUCUUCCUCCUCCAUUCUAUGCUAACAUCAUGGUUACUGAACCGUCACAUUUUUUUCAUUUCCAAGUUUGCUUCUCACAACUAGCUCAGGGAUUUAUCAAAGUUACAUCGCUCUCAAAGUUCCCGUUGUUUUAGAAAAAUGUUGAAGUUCGCAGACAUUCUCACGAAUUCCAUCUGGAUGACUCUAAAGUUACCUUAAAUGUUUGCCUGAGUAGACAAUUUUUCUGGAGGAGGGUUGUAUUUUCGGGGAAUGCGAUGCGAUAAACAUUUACAUAGUUAUUGAGAGGUAAAAGGUUUGGAUGUGGAUGCACUCUUUGUUUCUCAUAUCAAGGUCAAUCAAGCUCGAAUGCAAAGACGUUGUACUUACAGGGCUCAUGGAAGAAUGAAUCAUAUGUUGAGCCUUUCUUAUUCUCUGAAUGAAUUCUUUAUUGUUAUAUUAUAUUUUGUUAUAUAUUUGUGGUUUUUUGGUUAGCCUACAUGUCAUCUCCAUGCCACAUUGAGCUCAUAUUGUCUGAGAAGGAAGAGACUGUCCAGAAAGAGGAAAGCGAUAUCGGGUACCUCGAAAUUAUCCUGCUCGUGUCCGCCCAUUUGAUGUACUUGUGUUUGGCUCUUUAAGGUGAU